rnacentral:lncRNA from 10 species
GUGCUGGGUGCUGUUGCCAGGGGCAGCGGACUUCCGGAUCUUUGCUGGGGAUGGGCAGCCUGGAGAGGCACUGACUUUUGGAAGGGGAGACCAAGACCUGUGACGGAUGGCGCUUCCCAAAGCUUGAUCCUGGGACUCCUGGAAUGGGGGUAGUGGUGGGGUGGAUUGGAGACCCAGGAAGCGGACUCUGAGGAUUCCUGUUCCUGUACAUAAAAACACCAACUGUGCACUGAAGAAAUCUUUCAGGGAAUAGGCACACUGGAGAGUCAAACUGUGCAAGGGGGUACUGUGGA